UGGGGAAUAUUGCACAAUGGGCGCAAGCCUGAUGCAGCCAUGCCGCGUGUAUGAAGAAGGCCUUCGGGUUGUAAAGUACUUUCAGUCGGGAGGAAGGUGGUAAGGUUAAUAACCUUAUCAAUUGACGUUACCGACAGAAGAAGCACCGGCUAACUCCGUGCCAGCAGCCGCGGUAAUACGGAGGGUGCAAGCGUUAAUCGGAAUUACUGGGCGUAAAGCGCACGCAGGCGGUUGAUUGAGUCAGAUGUGAAAUCCCCGGGCUUAACCCGGGAAUUGCAUCUGAUACUGGUCAGCUAGAGUCUUGUAGAGGGGGGUAGAAUUCCAUGUGUAGCGGUGAAAUGCGUAGAGAUGUGAAGGAAUACCGGUGGCGAAGGCGGCCCCCUGGACAAAGACUGACGCUCAGGUGCGAAAGCGUGGGGAGCAAACAGG
rnacentral:rRNA from 1 species